UCUUGGCAUCCAGGCUUCGCCAUCCUGGACGCUGUGCUGCUCUUGAUGCUUGCUAGCAGCAGCAGGGUGGCUGCAAAGGUUAGCCAUGGUGAUUGAACCAGGAAGAUUCUUGUUGACCCAGGGUCAAGACAGCGAGCGGUGCAUGAAAGGAAGUUUCCCUGAGGCGACAUGUUGUAUCUGCAAUCGGGUCAAGUCGUUAAAGGGAGUCUUGCAAAGGACAAUAAGGCAAUCGCCGGUAAAGGGUCAGGAUUAUUCCCUUGGACUAAUUCUGCCGUCUGGGUUGAUUUCAAUCUGAGAGCAGAUUUGCACCACAGGUUUGUCCUUUGGAUUUAUGCUCGACCAAUUUUCUGUUCAAUGCUAUGCACUGUUGGAGUGUGAUUUGUUGUUACAAGGAAAAAUUACGAGCUUCACACCUAUUUAGAAAAGGGUAAAGGAAAGGACUGCCUGUGUUUUGGAA